UACGGGGGGGGCAAGCGUUGUUCGGAAUUACUGGGCGUAAAGGGCUCGUAGGUGGCCAACUAAGUCGGACGUGAAAUCCCUCGGCUUAACCGGGGAACUGCGUCCGAUACUGGAUGGCUUGAGUGUGGGAGAGGGAUGCGGAAUUCCAGGUGUAGCGGUGAAAUGCGUAGAUAUCUGGAGGAACACCGGUGGCGAAGGCGGCAUCCUGGACCAACACUGACACUGAGGAGCGAAAGCCAGGGGAGCAAACGGG
rnacentral:rRNA from 1 species